rnacentral:lncRNA from 1 species
CAGUGGUGGAGUUGUGGGUAUCCUUGAGCCUCCUGCAGAACAACGUCAUUUGUCUUCUUGCUUUUUAAAGUUUCCAUCAACUCUGGACCUUAUGAAGCUGACAAACGCAUGCAGCCGGAUGAUGGGUAGGAACUAGUGCUCCACAGUGACAAAUCCUCCUGUCCCUGAGAACUGUUUAAUCUCAUUACCUCACACAGACGAGUUCCUCAAGGGAGAAGAUUGAAUGGAUUAUUUCCUGGAGCUAUGUGGGUAUGAUUCUGCCACUAGCAAAAGGUGGAAAUGUGGAAAUGUUGAGCCAACCAGAUUCAAGGCAGUGCUGGUUUCACAAGAUCAGAACACACUUUCUGAUGUUUCUGGCUUCUAUGACACCUUAUCCUGCAGGUUGACUCAUGCUAGCCUCGUGGUGCCAUGUUUUUGUCACUUGUGUGAAGAGGUGUUUGAGGGAAGCCAUGAUGAGGCAUUCACUCUG